rnacentral:rRNA from 1 species
UACCAGCACCCCAAGUGGUCGGGACGAUUAUUGGGCCUAAAGCAUCCGUAGCCGGUUUUACAAGUCCUCCGUUAAAUCCAGCUGCUUAACAGAUGGGCUGCGGAGGAUACUAUAAGACUAGGAGGCAGGAGAGGCAAGCGGUACUCAGUGGGUAGGGGUAAAAUCCGUUGAUCCAUUGAAGACCACCAGUGGCGAAGGCGGCUUGCCAGAAUGCGCUCGACGGUGAGGGAUGAAAGCUGGGGGAGCAAACCGG